rnacentral:rRNA from 1 species
GAUGAACGCUGGCGGCGUGCCUAAUACAUGCAAGUCGAGCGAACAGAUAAGGAGCUUGCUCCUUUGACGUUAGCGGCGGACGGGUGAGUAACACGUGGGUAACCUACCUAUAAGACUGGGAUAACUUCGGGAAACCGGAGCUAAUACCGGAUAAUAUUUCGAACCGCAUGGUUCGAUAGUGAAAGAUGGUUUUGCUAUCACUUAUAGAUGGACCCGCGCCGUAUUAGCUAGUUGGUAAGGUAACGGCUUACCAAGGCAACGAUACGUAGCCGACCUGAGAGGGUGAUCGGCCACACUGGAACUGAGACACGGUCCAGACUCCUACGGGAGGCAGCAGUAGGGAAUCUUCCGCAAUGGGCGAAAGCCUGACGGAGCAACGCCGCGUGAGUGAUGAAGGUCUUCGGAUCGUAAAACUCUGUUAUUAGGGAAGAACAAAUGUGUAAGUAACUAUGCACGUCUUGACGGUACCUAAUCAGAAAGCCACGGCUAACUACGUG